GACGAAGGCUCCAAGCGUUAUCCGGAAUCAUUGGGCGUAAAGCGUCUCCAACUGGUAAUGUGCGUCUCAUGUUAAAUCUUCGUGCUCAACACGGAGGCCGCGUGAGAUACGACAUCACUCGAGGGUGGUAGAGGUGAAUGGAAUGACUGGUGUAGUAGUGAAAUGCGUUGAUAUCAGUCAGAACACCAAUAGCGAAAGCAGUUCACUGGGCCACUCCUGACAGCCACAGACGAAAGCGUGGGGAGCAAACAGG
rnacentral:rRNA from 1 species